GAGCGAACAGAAGGGAGCUUGCUCCCGGAUGUUAGCGGCGGACGGGUGAGUAACACGUGGGUAACCUGCCUGUAAGACUGGGAUAACUCCGGGAAACCGGAGCUAAUACCGGAUAGUUCCUUGAACCGCAUGGUUCAAGGAUGAAAGACGGUUUCGGCUGUCACUUACAGAUGGACCCGCGGCGCAUUAGCUAGUUGGUGGGGUAAUGGCUCACCAAGGCGACGAUGCGUAGCCGACCUGAGAGGGUGAUCGGCCACACUGGGACUGAGACACGGCCCAGACUCCUACGGGAGGCAGCAGUAGGGAAUCUUCCGCAAUGGACGAAAGUCUGACGGAGCAACGCCGCGUGAGUGAUGAAGGUUUUCGGAUCGUAAAGCUCUGUUGUUAGGGAAGAACAAGUGCGAGAGUAACUGCUCGCACCUUGACGGUACCUAACCAGAAAGCCACGGCUAACUACGUGCCAGCAGCCGCGGUAAUACGUAGGUGGCAAGCGUUGUCCGGAAUUAUUGGGCGUAAAGGGCUCGCAGGCGGUUUCUUAAGUCUGAUGUGAAAGCCCCCGGCUCAACCGGGGAGGGUCAUUGGAAACUGGGAAACUUGAGUGCAGAAGAGGAGAGUGGAAUUCCACGUGUAGCGGUGAAAUGCGUAGAGA
rnacentral:rRNA from 2 species